rnacentral:rRNA from 1 species
UGUCGNUGGCUUGAAUGAGCAUGUGNCGUCUUUUGCUGCUUAUUUCAUUCUAUUUCCACCUGUGCACAUUUUGUAGACACUUGGGAAUGAGAGGUUGAAUUGAUUGACCUCUUGAUAUUGAAAAGUCCGAGUGUCUAUGUAUUUUUUAUAUACACAGUUGCAUGUCUAUAGAAUGAGGUUGUAGGCUUUUUUGUAAGCCUUUAAAUGAUAAAGUAUAACUUUCAACAACGGAUCUCUUGGCUCUCGCAUCGAUGAAGAACGCAGCGAAAUGCGAUAAGUAAUGUGAAUUGCAGAAUUCAGUGAAUCAUCGAAUCUUUGAACGCAUCUUGCGCUCCUUGGUAUUCCGAGGAGCAUGCCUGUUUGAGUGUCAUUAAGUAUCUCAAAAGCUUAUGCCUAUUUUGUGGCGUGAGACUUUUGGACAAUGGGAGUUGCCGGUCACUGAUGAAAGUGGUGGGCUCUUCUGAAAAGUAUUAGUUGAGGAACUUUGCACUCUAUUGGUGUGAUAGAAUAUCUAUGCCAGGAGAUGCUUUAUGAUCCUCUGCUGUCUAACUGUCUUCAUUGGACAAACAUGAUGAACUUGACCUCAAAUCAGGUAGGAUUACCCGCUGAACUUAAGCAU